rnacentral:rRNA from 1 species
AGAGUUUGAUCCUGGCUCAGGACGAACGCUGGCGGCGUGCCUAAUACAUGCAAGUCGAACGCGCUCCAUUCGGUAGCAAUACUGAUGAAGAGCGAGUGGCGAACGGGUGAGUAGCACGUGAGCAACCUGCCCCGAAGACGUGGACAACACCGGGAAACCGGUGCUAAUACCGGAUAUCCCUAUCGGACCGCAUGGUCCGC